GCAGUGGUGGUUCAGUGGUUAAGGCUCUUGGGUUAUUAAUCAGAAGGUCAGGGGUUCAAGCCCCAGCAAUGCC